UUCAACCCAUUUAAGCGAUCCAUUACCAACCUUUCCCAAUUAGCUGAAAAUGUCCAGCCCAAUUCACCCCACUCCAAUCUCCACUCCACUCAUCUCCAACCCAGUCUCCUCCGACCCAGCCCAACACAUCUUAACCCAACUCAGACCCUUCUCAUCCUCAAAGAGAAAGCUUCCCAUAACCCUCAAAAUGCGUGCAGUAGCGAUGCACCCGCUUAGCAGCAGCAAUUGGCGAUGAUUUUCACGGAGCGAGGAUGGACCAACCGUCCAAGCAAGCGCGUGCACCCCGGACAGAUGUAAGGUUCACAAGAGACGGAGAAGGAUAACAUACUAACGUAUCCAUCUCCUUUUUAUACUCUCUACAACUUUACAUGUAUAGCAACAACGCCAGACGCGCUUUCGUCUUUGACAAGAUUCAUGAUCGGUUUGUCUAACCCCCGUUGUUCCAAAAAUAGUGUUCCUUUCGCAUAUGCAGUUUUCUGUGGAUUGAUAAGUAUAUUUGUUGUAUGACCAGGCUUGAAGUUUAACACCGCUUCAUCAAAUGUGUUAUUGUAUCAUCUUAAAUGUCUGAAUAGAUAUUUCGUUUCUAUGUGUCCCCUACUCAAUAAUUAUGAAAUGUAUUUAAAUAUCAACUUUAGUUACAGAUUUGCUACCUUACCAAUUUUAUCUAAUAUUACUUUAAUUGUUGGCAUUAUUUAAUAGCAUCCAAUUUACAUGACAUUUAUUUGUUGUGGAUUUUAAGUGUUGGAAUAAUGGCCCCAAUGACCAUUAUUUCAUUAUCAGUGUGCCUUGGAUUUAGUCUCAUUUGAGUUUGUAUCUCUUCGUCUAGGACCUGUUAUUUAAGUUCAACUUAGUUUAUUUUUAUCUAUGUGUAGUUUAUUUUUAUCUAAGUGUCUUUUUUGCUAUUUUUUUGGAUACUAAUCUUUACUCCCAUUUUGUUUGCAUGUGAAAUCCGUUUGAGUUCAUUAUGAACUCUUACCCUUUCCCUUGCAUUUCGAGAGAGUCGUAAAGGCUUAAAUUCCUAGUUUUGAGUUAAUCCCAAGCCGGCGUACAUGUCUUGAAGUAGGAAGGGAAGCCGACAUGAAGCUGAAAAAACAAGAAAUUGAGGCGUCCCAAUAUUUUUUUAUACUUAUUUUGCAUCUUGUUAUCUUUGGGCUUAAGCCCUUGUCGUCUUUUAUUUUCCGUAUUUAUUGCUUAUUAUUGUAUAACUAGUUUAGGACAGGUACAAAAAGAAAUGGCCUCCAAAAGGCCAAAUGGAUCCAAAUAUAGGUCCAGGCAGACAGAAACCGGAUUCGGACCCAACUCUCUCUCUCUAUUUUUCCUUUCACGUAUAUUUAGUUUGUUGGUUGA